rnacentral:lncRNA from 1 species
AUUUUCUUAUAUUGGUGGGUAUUAAAUCGGAUAUUCCAAACCCUAAUAUAGGCUUAAACCAAAUUGGAUUGAUGCAAUAAUUAAAUAAAUCAUUAGGUAAAUCACCAACAUCACUCCUACAAUUAGGUAAAUCGACGUUUAAUUGGACAAUUAAAGCAACAGAAAAUCCUUUCAAAGUAGUCAUCACAUACAAAACAUUGUAGUCAAAGUAAAUACGUGUAAUAGAUUAAGAGCAAAAAAAACAACACAAUUAUUACAUGCUCAAAUAAAAA